UACGUAGGAUGCAAGCGUUGUUCGGAAUUACUGGGCGUAAAGAGUACGUAGGCGGUGACGUAAGUCUGAUAUUAAAGACCGAGGCUUAACUUCGGGAAUGUAUCGGAAACUGCGUUGCUAGAGGCAGAUAGAGGAUGCCGGAAUUCCCAGUGUAGCGGUGAAAUGCGUAGAUAUUGGGAAGAACACCGGAGGCGAAAGCGGGCAUCUGGGUCUGUACUGACGCUGAGGUACGAAAGCGUGGGGAGCAAAC
rnacentral:rRNA from 1 species